rnacentral:rRNA from 1 species
AUUGAACGCUGGCGGCAUGCCUUACACAUGCAAGUCGAACGGUAACGGGCCUUCGGGUGCCGACGAGUGGCGAACGGGUGAGUAAUGCAUCGGAACGUACCUUUCAGUGGGGGGAUAACGUAGCGAAAGUUACGCUAAUACCGCAUAUUCUGUGAGCAGGAAAGCAGGGGAUCGCAAGACCUUGCGCUGAUUGAGCGGCCGAUGUCAGAUUAGCUAGUUGGUGAGGUAAAGGCUCACCAAGGCGACGAUCUGUAGCGGGUCUGAGAGGAUGAUCCGCCACACUGGAACUGAGACACGGUCCAGACUCCUACGGGAGGCAGCAGUGGGGGAAUUUUGGACAAUGGGGGCAACCCUGAUCCAGCCAUGCCGCGUGAGUGAAGAAGGCCUCGG